rnacentral:lncRNA from 1 species
GGGGUGUUACAUGUUGCAUCAGAUUCAAUUCGUGCUUAGAAAGUCCAAUUCCAUUUAAUUAGUUUUAUUAUUUUCCAUCUCUAGCCUAGAUACAUGGAUAGAAUCCAUAAAUUGCAAAACCCAGUGACUGGUUUCAAUGAAAUAUUGCAUAGUAUAAAAAGUUUGCAUUCCUUUUAGGAAGUCUCGCAUCUUGCAUGCAUACCUUUAAGCAUAGCAUAUCACCAUUCAUGUCUUGCAUCUAUUUUGGGUAUUCUUUUUCAUUCCUUGCUUCAUUCUCAUUUUCAUGCAUACAUUAGGGUCAUUUAGGUAGAACUAUGCAUUCCUAAUUAGAUUGUCUUUCUUUUAAUUUCAAUUUCAUUCCCCCACCUUGUUUUGUUUUUUUUAUUUCUUUUUCAGGAUCAAUUAUACACUUUGCAAACUUAUUAAGGACCAAGUCCUUGGAUUCAAUACCCGAGGUUUUCCCUAUCCUACACUAGUGGGGAAACUUUGGUUUAUUGCCUUUUUGGACGAUAAAGAAGCAGUUUAACCAGAACCCCUCAAACCACACAUAACAUAC